AAAAAGCCUAAAAUAGUUCAUUUUCCAGUUACAAGAGAAUUAUCGCUAAUAUAAUAAGUUGGUGGAAAGGAAUACGAUUUUUUUUAAAUCAAAAUGAAGACUAUUGCGCUCGGACUUAUUCUACUGUCGUUAGCAGUUAUGCGCACAUCUGGGAGUCUAUUAUGCACUGAAGUAUUAGGCGUACCACUAGGUUGUUUCCUAGCUUGCACUUCAUUCCCGUAUGAAUGCGAUGGUGAUGGCAGAUGUAUUUGCACUGCUCAGAGCGAGUUGAAUGUCAAUAUCGAAUGCAAUGCCAAUGAUACCCUUACAUCUACAGCGUGUAGUGGGAUAUGCGUGGAUCUGGAUUUACUCAAUCUUGGUUCUAUUUCGUCUUCAAACUGCGAUGAUGGCAUAUGCCAUUGUGUCUAUGAUCUUUAAAAGAACAUUUUGUAGUAGAAAAUUUGUACCCGUUCGGUAUUUUUGUGUCGGUUGUGUCGACUGAAAAAUAAAUAUGG